rnacentral:lncRNA from 1 species
CAAAAUUUCAAUCAUUUAUUAGUAUGCAUAUCGCAGCUGACAUCACAAAUACACAAGGAAAAAGUUACCAUGUAUAUGGGCACUGUCUCCAUAUGUUUGAGAAUGCACAAAUGGUUGUGUAGAAACAAUCAUUCUUGACUAAUCCAGGAAGUCCUCAUUCCAUUUGGAAGAGAACUCAGCUGUAGGGUGACAUCACUGACUGUAUGAUUAUAAGAGUUAAAUGAAUUGCAACUGUGUUCAGAAAAUUCAGAUACAAACAAUUUUUUUUGGGGGAAAUAACUAUUAGCUAAUACCUGAUAGCACACAAUUAUGUCUAAGCAAAGUUGCAGCAUUUCAUAUUCGCCCUAAACCCUACAUAUUGACGAUCAAAGGUAUAACGUUAAUCACAUAGCCACAUGUCAUGUGGCACAAUCCCCGUGGUCUCACUAUCACACUAGUGAAAAGUCACAAGAGCAACAGUAUAUGCCAGUAAGUGAAAACACUUACCUAAUGAAAAGGGUGGCCAUCAACAGUAUCACAUCAAAUGGCUAAAAUAAAUAACAGUAUCAACAAUACAACUGGAAAAACAGUGGAAAGGUAUGUUAUAGCACUUAUUAUUUUACAAAUUUUUUAUACAUAAAAUUAGUAUGAGAUUGCCAAUAAUAACAAUAAAGUUGCUUUUCUUGUGGAUGCAUCAGGUGUGCAAUAGAACAAUUUGGUGGGCUAUCAAAGUCUAGGCCUAUACUCUCACAGGUCAACCCUGGAUUACUAUAAAGAUCAAAUUCAUCAGAAAAGCAAAGUUCGUGUGCGUGAACCGUGAAGGCCAGUGAAGGCAAAAUAUAAAGAUUUUACACAAGGAAGCCUAUAAUGAGUAAAAUUCGAUUUGUUAUGAACCAAUCUAUGUAGCCCAAAAAUUGUUAAACCACAAUCCUAAAGUACAAAAAUUGUUAUGAACCAAUCAUGUACAGAAAGCAAAUGAUUCCUGUAGUUCCAAUCUUUUCAUAGGUGACGUGAAUAUUCAAAUGAUUCCUGUCUAUAUUUAAAAAAAUGGUAAUUGUAGGGCUGUUCAUGGGCUUUAAAGCAAAUGCACAAGUUAUCAACAUUACACGGAUGAAAUAAAGGACAUUGAUGUUUAUAGAAUGAUUAUAAAUUUUGUCUUAAAGCAUACUUCAAGGUUCAAGAGCAACCACUAUAAGCAUUCAAAAAUAUCUGAUUGCAUGAUUUAUCAGCAUGAGGGGACGGAUCUAUUGAUAAUAUAUUUAGUAGAAUAAACCACCAGGAAGCAGUAAAGCCUGACCAUGGGUCAAACUGAACUGGGUCAUCCAUAUUGAUUUUGGACAAUAUUAAAUAUUAUACUAGUGAGAGAUGGGCAGUGUGUUGGACCUCUCAUUAAAAAAUACUAUGUAAGGAAGGGAAACCAAAACUGACUUGGCAGUUUUUGUAUCAAUUUCUGUGUCAGUAAGUAACUAUUUAUGAGCAGUUACUUUCUAGUGUGUAUGUGUGUGUGUAUUUUCUGUUGUACUAGGAAUAAAUACGGAAAAGUCAGAACAGAACAUAGUUGGUUAUCCUAGACUAUUGUGUGAUUAUUUGGAAAAGGAGAGACACAAGGCUCUCAAACCCUUGUGGAAACUGUGACUGUGUUAGCUUGUCCUGUGUAAUUUCAAUUUUGUGCAAGUGUGUUUAACUGUGUACUACUGUCUCUGAUUUGGGAACUCUUCCCCAGAGAAUAAUUCAAUAAAUUAAUUGUUAUUUAGUUAUGAAUCCUAUUUUUGUACCAGUUGCUAUCAGUGUUUCGAUAUCUGAGAAAACUCUCAUCAUAAGCCCUCUGCUUCAUCUUUAAAGAAGAUUUUUACCAAACCACAGUUCACUGGCCCUCCUCUCCUGCCUACCAUCUUAAGUGUUCCAUUUGCUAAAAGCCAUGUUACAAGAAAAUGAAAUGAUAGAAAGCAGAACUAGGGGAGUAAUUACAGAUUUGGGUAAAUCUAAAACAUCGCUGCAAGUUACAAGGGUCUAUUUGUUUUUAAAAAAUGAUUUCGGGUUCCUUUGAUUAAGCUUUAAAAAAAUGAUUUUGUUUUGAAAAAAUCUAGAUAUUCAUUUAUGGAGANNNNNNNNNNNNNNNNNNNNNNNNNNNNNNNNNNNNNNNNNNNNNNNAAACUAAAGCUAAUUUACGUUUGUUUACUGUCUAAAAAAUCUUCUUUUUUUUUUUAAAAUGGGAAGCUCCUACACUUAGGUUCCUUAAUUUUAAAAAAAAAAAUAGAUUCUUGAAAAGCUAUUAGGAUUAACUUUUCAUUUUGGGGUUAAAAAUGAUUUUUUUUACAGAAUGAUUUUCUAAAAAAUCUAUAACAAACAUUAUCAAAAUGAUAAAAUAGAUUUUUUGUUAAAAAAAUCCAAAACAAACAGACCCUUCAUUUUCUGUGUUGGCAUUUAUUUGCAAAACAGACACCUUUUUAACUUUGUUUCCUUUUACCAAAUAUUUGAAAGCAAAAUUGUAAAUAAAAGUGAAAAUUGUUUUCACUGCCUCCUUCACAAAUACUUUAAAACAACAAAGCAGGAGAAAACAGAGUGGUAGUUUUGUGAAUAAAAGUGACAAUAGGAAAUGUUUCUUUUCUUAACUAAGACACCUCAGGUUUAAACCACAACCGUGUAAAUGUUAUUUCAUUCUCUUCUCAAUUAGGAUAUAGGUUUAUAUGGUAGUUAGUUACUAGUUAGCUAAAUUUCUGGGCUGAGACUCAACUUGUCAGCUUGUAAUUAAAUACAAUCUAUAAGAGAAUUCUCCAGCUGGAGAACACAAUUUUUGGCUUACAUUACAUUUCUCUGAAUUUGCAAAUAAAGUAUCUAGAAGGCUUGUAGAACUCUUUUUUCCAACAAUCAAGAAGUAUGCCUCUAUACACCAGUUUAAUAAGUUUCAUUUUUAGUUGACAGAAAACCAAAUCCCAAAACAAACCCAACAUUUGCAUAACCAUAUAAUGAUUUUGUUAUACACUAGGUGUUGCCUAUAAAGCCCACUGUGUUGUACCCAUAUCUGAUAUCAUACGUGGAUAAUACUCCUAGUAUAUGUAUCCGUAAAACAAAACAAGAUAAAAACAAAGAACUAUGGAAACUGCUCCUGAGAGAUAUUCAAAGCUCCUCUAAUGUAAAAAACUUAUCCUACAAGAUAAUCUAAAAUGAUAUUAACAUGUUGUAAGAUAUAUUCCAAUCAUUUAACACUCCAGCUCAAGUUUCAUAAGUUUGUUAUAUUACAAAAGAGAAAAAUAACCAAAUAAUAUAAUUUACAUUGAAUUGGGAAGUUGGGACUAAAUCACAAUUGGGACAGGAUAACUUGUGUCUUAAGACAAAAUCAAUGCCAAACUACAACUGAGACAAAACCAGUGCCAAACCACAACCGAGACAAAACAAAUGCCAAACCACAACUGAGACGAAGAAACCAAUGUUUUCAAAGAAACACAUCAAACCAUAGGUCAGAUCAGAGAAGCAAGGGUAGAUCAUAUAAUGUGGAGGUGCCGCUGGAGUUGCUAAUAGUGGAAAAAACCAAAUUCUAAUUAGACCCACAGGACAAAAGUGGCCUUGAUAAAACUAAGAAAAUCCCACAAACCAAACUUGACCAGCAACGUGGUGAACAGGCAGUAAGAAGGUUACACGCGGCCUUCAAAUGCCGACUGAAACAAAAAGCUUGACGGCUGAAAUGUAAAGGCAAUGUCCUACCUCAGUUAUACUAGUUGAAGUUCUAGGGUAUUGGAUAAGCAGAAAGAGAAAAAUUAAAGUGUGCAUUUGAUCUGCUAAAAAUGAGGGAUGGGACAAAUUCAGUUGUACAAUGUUUGAUUUUAAAACUAUUUAUGGGACUAGACAAAUUGGGGGUAAGGGACUGGACAAAAAUAUUAAUGUGCCUCACUAAACCACAAGACAAUUUUUUGUCCCAGAUAUAAGUUGUUUAAAACAACAAAAUAAUCUUUUGUCCACAUAAACAUCAUACAAGACAAGAAGUUGUUCAAUACCUUAAAACUUUGUCAUGUAUUGUUUUGUCCUAUGUAGUACUUAUCUUUUACAAAUCAAACGGGCCUAAGACUUUGUAUUACGAAUAUGGUUUAGAAUGAUUAUUAUUAUUAUUAUUUGAUACAAAAAGACUAAACAUUAACCUUUUUUAUAGGGAAACAAAUCAUGAUAAAGCAAAGAAAUAUAAAACUAAUCUUAAGAGAUAUUCUAAGAUAAGAAACUAAUCCUACAAGAUAAUCUAAGAUACUCUAGGAUAAUAUCAAGAUAUUAUAAGAUAAUUUCCAAUCUUCUGACACUUGGAACGAUAAAACUAUAUUGAUAGUUUUUUUUUUUUUUGAAUUACUAUAUUGAUAUUGUUAAGAGUACCAACAUUGGAUGAGAUAAGCCUUGAACAUGGAUUUAUAUGUAGAGGCAGUCCUCUCCUUACAAGCCGGUUUUGUAGAGUUGAGUUAGGCCCAACUCAAAAUCCAUUGGGCCACCUUCUAUUAGGUUUCCUCUAUCGGACCACCCACCAUUUAUAUCCAUGCACCAAGCUCAAUAGUGUUGGACGCGAGGGGGUAUGUUAAGAGUCCCAAAUUGGAUGAGAUAAGGCAUGGACAUCAGGACAUAGGUUUAUAAGUAAAGGCAGUCCUCACCUUACAAGCCGGUUUUUUAGGGUUGGGUUAGGCCCAACGCAAAUUCUACGAGAUAUUAAUGUAAAUGAUAUAUUGGAUGUUAUUUCAAAUGUCAGGAUAAUCCUUAUUAAUACUUGCACAAAACUUUAUUUUCAUUACAUAAGUAUGAGGAUAUAUGGAAAACAGUUAUAUCUAAAUUGUCUAAAUUACUCUAAGAUACACCUUCGAUAUUAUGAGAUAUUGUUCAUGUAUUCUAAUAAUGCAAUUAACUGCAUAGUUAUAGGACCUAAAAUGAUAUAUGAGAUUCAAAGUAGGACGACAACUAAUCAACAAAAAAGUCAGCUCGCGUAGAGAUGAUAAUGUUAAAUUGGUUGAGCAGUGUCACAAAGCCAAGAAAAAUCAAGAAUACAAUAAUGAGAAAAAAAAAUGGGGUAUUCAUGUUUUUCUUUAUAAACUCGUGAAGCGUACGUAGACUGAAUUAGUAAACUCGUAAGAGUUUGAAGGAUGACUCUUCCUGAUUCUAACAUGAAACAAGAUUGAAAGUGAGAAAACUCAUUUUUCUUACAUAGAAUUGUAGAAUUGAGUUGACUUGAUAGAUUGACAACCUUGGUUAUGUCAACAUAAAGCUUAUCAGGCGGCCAAGAGGCAUCUAUCAUUUUUCUAGCUCUACAAGAUCCCUAAUAUUUGUGUUAUAAUCAAAUGACCCCUUUUUAAUUAUGUUGUUAUUUUCUUUCAGUAAACUUAACUCUCCAACUACCUAGUGAGAUUAUGCAUGAUUACAUUUGAAAACAGGUAAUCAACCUUCCUUUCUCUUUCAUGAGACAGUUAAAGAUAAUGCCAUACCUCUAAUAGAUCAUAAAAUGAAAGACAUGUGGAUGUAAGAUUCUUGUUAUUAUUGCAGCUGCAUAGCUAAUCUGAAGACAAUACUCCAGUUCAACGUGCAUCUUUUCUGGAUACAAAUAAGGGGGAGAUGUCAUGAUUAUUUAUCAAUGAAUAGAAAAUGACUAUAUAUUAAAAUUAUAGGAAUGCAUGUUUACAAUAACUUGGUAGAUAAUGAUAGGUAAAUUAAUUGUGAACUUGUCUUACAAACAACUAUGCUUGGUAGAAAAAUGACAAAGUAGACUUAGUUUUUAUUUUUGAAUUCCUCGUGUGCUUGGUAGCGUGUCUCUUCAUAUUAAAUUCUUAGAAAAAUAUUUCAUAUCCAAUCAUUAAUCAUGGGAAGCUUGUUUAGCAAUACAUUGGAAACAUGACUCCGUUUAAACUUUUGCUACAAACAACAACCAUAAUUUCAAUGAAACAUUAGCAUUUUUUAUCAAGAAAUUACGCAAAUUUUCUUCCAAUACAAAAUCAUAUUUUCCUCUCUUUUAUAGGACUAAUUAUAGUGUGACUAGUAAGGAAGACGGAUCUUGAAAGUUAAAUGAGUUGCAGCUGACAAGAUUUGGUUGAAGAUUCCCGAACCUUCUCCUCUUUAUCUUGAAAGCACUAAAUUGGAUAUAUUGACAUCAUUUUUCAGUAACUAAACUAGCACUUAAAUUAAUUCAAGAUUAUGACCUAAUUAUAUCUUUUUGAAAAUAGGGAUGUUUGCGUAAAUAACUCAAUUCAGCACUUAUUUGAUAAACACUUAUCAUACAAGUUGUUUUCACAAUCAAAGGUAAACCAAGGGUAAACUCUACAUAAACUGUGUAUUCUAUAAGUUAUCUUAGAAAAAUUAUAAAAAUAAAGAGAAAAACAUGUCAUGAGCAUAUUAUAAGCUCGUCCAAAAACUGACACAAGUGUUUAUGUCUUACAAUAAUUCCAAAUAAGCUCUUCUAAAGUUCCCCUUAAAACUCUAAGCUAAGUCCACUUUAUUUUUUAAGUGACUAAAGUCCACCUUAAUUGUCUACAUAUACUACAUUAUACAAAAUCUUAUAAACCAAACUGUAAAUAGAAAGGAAAUGAAAGAAAAUUAUCAUAAAACCAGUGCCCUUGUUAAAAUUGUAGAGAUAUAUGCAUGUGAUGAAAAUUCAUUCAUUCAUCCAAUACUCCCUACAUAGUACUCCUUCUAGUCUAAUAUAUAAGCAAACAUAUAUAAGUAAAGAUUCUUUUUUUUAUGUUCAUUGAAUAACUGAUGUAUCUAUCUGGUCUAUAUAUGACCAGAUACAUUGGUUAUUCAACGAACCUGAAAAUAAAUAUUUGCUUAUAUAUGAGACCGGAAGGAGUAAACCUAAUUACAUUAAUACUCUCACAGUUAUUAUUUGUAACUAACUACAUUAGCACACUAAUGCAAACACAAUUAUAAGGUCACCAAGGCAUUAAUGGAUCGAAAAUUGUGAGAAAAAAAAUAACGCACUAUUACUUGAUUAUGACAAUAGAAUUUCGAGAACGAUUUCAGUAUUUGACAUGCAAAGAUGAAGAUAAGGAAAAUAUAUAUUAAAAUAAUGAGUUAGUAUAAAUAGAAGGAAAAAAAUGAAAACCUAGAGAGAUUUUUGUGGAUUGAAGGCCGGAAUUUUGAUGAGAAGGCGGCGGAAUGAGUGAACCACCGUGAAGAUAGGGCAUGACGGGGAGAAUGAAGAAGAGAAGAAACGAAUCGGUCGGAGUGAGUGACGUUGGGAUGCGAGCGAGAAGAAUGUGUUUGGCUUUUGGUAAGCAAAGGGAACGAACGAAAGGGUUCGGUUCGUUUCUAACCAAUCACAAGACGAAGAUCCUCCGCGGUGUCCAACUACCAACUGAAUUCUCAAUUUUAUUUUCAAUAAAUAAUAAAUGGGUUUCAACUCCGAAACAUUCAUACCAUCUGAAUUAAGUUUACAGAACGACUUGUUUUAAGUUUAUGUGAAUUUAUCUAUUACUAAUAUAUUAAAAUUAGGGUUAUGUUAACUUGUGUCCUAAGGAC